AGGCUAUUCUGAGGGUGAAAGGGAUCCUCAAAUUUGACUCAACUGACCAUGCCAUUUGGGGAYUGAAUUCACAACCUUGGCUUUAUUAGCACUGCACUACAAUCACCUGAGCCGGUCUCAGGGUCAUAGGGAUGACCUUUCCUAGCUCGUGAAUGGAUGCUGCCAGCAAGGAUCUACCCAACAGCUAUGAACAAGGAGCAACGUCCUUUCCAGGGAGAAAUGAGCAAAACAAGUGCUGAGGCUACAAUUGGUCCGUGGCAAAAGUUCUGGAGAGCGUCAGGGCUGGUCCCGCCUGCAGAGGGGCGUUUCCUGCAGGGGAGAGCUGUGCCUGCCAUGUCCUGCUCGUGGCAUCCAGCAUGCAAAACGCACAUCCCAGGGAUGGGCACAGGGAUGCCCGGACAGCGCUCGGAUGGACAUGGAUUAAGGUCUGCUCAUGGCUCCGCAGCCAUGGGCUGCUCUGAACAGGAACCUGGAGAUGCUUCACCCCAGAGAGAGCCCAACAACACUCCAAAAAUAUCCCAGGCAACAGCUGGCACCCGGCAAUGCCGGCACGUUGUGUUUGUGGAGGGGCUGAGACAGCGA